ACUUAUAUAAUAUAAAUAAAUUAAUUAUAUUUGAUUUCCAAUCAAAAAAUCUACAAAUUAGUAUAAGUA
rnacentral:tRNA from 1 species